GAGAGCCUGAACCAGCCAAGUCGCGUGAAGGAUGAAGGUUCUAUGGAUUGUAAACUUCUUUUGUCGGGGAAUAAAGUGAGCCACGUGUGGUUUUUUGUAUGUACCCGACGAAUAAGGAUCGGCUAACUCCGUGCCAGCAGCCGCGAUUACCGCGGCUGCUGGCACGUAUUACCGCGG
rnacentral:rRNA from 1 species